rnacentral:ncRNA from 2 species
UUACGUCUUCGGGGCGGGGUGCGAUUCCCCACCGGCGGUAAGAGCGGCAACGUUCGAGCCCGCGAGCGCCUGCCUGGCAGCAACGGGCAGGGUCAGCAGACCUGGUGAGAUUCCAGGGCCGACGGUAUAGUCCGGAUGAAAGAAGAUGUGC